UAUAAUGUUUUGAUUUUUCGUUUUAUUUGAAAAAUUUUUAUGAUUAAUAUUUUUAUUCUUACCAGAUGAUAAAAUAUGAAUAAUGUUUUAUGCAUAACUAAUUUUUAUAAGUUUUUGUAUAAUUUUUUUAAAUAAUAUGAAUGGUCAAAUGUUGGACACAUAAAAACA
rnacentral:pre_miRNA from 1 species